GGAGGGAUGGCCGAGUGGUUUAAGGCAGCGGUCUUGAAAACCGCCGUGGGGAGACCCACCGUGAGUUCGAAUCUCACUUCCUCCGCCA
rnacentral:tRNA from 1 species